rnacentral:rRNA from 1 species
GAAAUCACAUGAGUCAUGCUUAAUGUUGGUGAUUGUGAUAACGUAAGGGAAAAAAAUGAUAUUACCUUACUAUUAGUGUUGUCCAAAACUGGUGCCAGAAGACUCGGUAAGGCCAGAGACGCAAACGUUAGUCGUCCUAAUCAGGCGUAAAGGGUGUGUAGGCUGCUUUGAAAGUUAUAUUUUUCAUAAAGCUCUUUUAACGAAGUAUCUUAAUAAAAAAAAAUUUUUUAUUAAUAUCUGUUCUAAGGUAAAAAUAUAAUUAAUUAAAGCUAGGAUCAAAUUGAGGAUAAGCCAAAUAAUACUUAGAGUAGGGAUUAAAUCCGCAGAUACUAAGGGGAAUACUAAAGGUGAAAGCUUUUUAUCUAUUAUUGAUUGACGCUGAGAAACGAAGGUGAGGAUAGGAAAUAGGAUUAGAUACCCAGAUACCUCUCACUGUCAACGAUGAAUGGUGGUUGUUAGUUUAAAUAAAAACUGGUAACGAUGUUAACACGAUAACCAUUCCGCCUUGCGAGUACGGUUGCAAAACUGAAACCAAAAAAAUUAGUCGGUCU